AGCAAGGACACUGAAGUGAUGAUUCUUAUUUCCCUUUAUUGAUCCCUAUGCAACUACUCGGAGAUGUUUCUAGUGUCACCCUACAUGGUAAGCCUUCUUCCUGCUUCACCAACAGAAGGCUCACCUUCAGUAUGUAUGGUUUAAUCUCCAUUCUGACAUCACUAAGAAAUCAUUCUGGCAUCACUAAGAUAGUAACUCUGAAUCUAAGUUGCAAAUGAAGUAGGACCUAGGUGUCUCACAAGACAUGGUCCUACAUUUGACUGAAAAUAUAUUAUCAAAUUUUGUUUGCAAGGGGCCACUACAUCUGAGACUUUAAAAAUGCUACCAAGCCCAAAAAUUGCCAAGAGUAAGAGAUCCACCAGCCCUCUGAGAGGAGAUAACAGAGAUGUCCUCAGAAGAGCUGCUUGGACUUCUUCAGGAGAAACUAAGGCGCAACAAAAGAGUACUCUGUUCCGAAAGUUUUGAAGAAUGAAGUGAAAACUGAAGAUAGUAAAUUGUUCAGUCUCAUAACUUCAAACUUCACAUUUCAUACAAUAGCACCACUAGUUAUAGUAUUUUCUCUCACCGUCAUGUUAUGAAAAUAAGAGAGCUAAGAUUAUUAAUUUAUUAUCUCAAAAAGAGAAAACAUAGCAGAAAAGGAAACUGACAUAAGAGAACAUUCUGCCCAUUAUCACAUUAAGUCAUAAAAUCUCAAGAGUCCCAGUCUACUAGUACAGGUCACAAUACUAUAACCUUGAAAACAACCAAAUAACAACUUGCACAUUACACAAAGCUACUGCUUUAGCUUUCUAGCCAGCUUGCUUUAUUAGAAUACAGAUUAGCAUGGUCAAGGUCACAGCUGUCCUAAAGAAAAAUAGGACAUCCUUUCCAUGGGCAGCCAUCUCACAAAAGUAUGUGUGGUGGGACCCAUGCAAAUCUACCUUCUUUGCAGGAAA